rnacentral:rRNA from 1 species
UACGGAGGGUGCAAGCGUUAUCCGGAUUCACUGGGUUUAAAGGGUGCGUAGGAGGGCAGGUAAGUCAGUGGUGAAAUCUUCGAGCUUAACUCGGAAACUGCCGUUGAUACUAUCUGUCUUGAAUACCGUGGAGGUGAGCGGAAUAUGUCAUGUAGCGGUGAAAUGCUUAGAUAUGACAUAGAACAUCAAUUGCGAAGGCAGCUCGCUACACGAAUAUUGACUCUGAGGCACGAAAGCGUGGGGAUCAAACAGG